rnacentral:rRNA from 1 species
AUUGAACGCUGGCGGAAUGCUUUACACAUGCAAGUCGAGCGGCAGCGCGGGGGCAACCCUGGCGGCGAGGGGCGAACGGGUGAGUAAUGCAUCGGAACGUACCCAGUAAUGGGGGAUAACUGUCCGAAAGGACAGCUAAUACCGCAUACGCCCUGAGGGGGAAAGCGGGGGAUCGCAAGACCUCGCGUUAUUGGAGCGGCCGAUGUCGGAUUAGCUAGUUGGUGGGGUAAAGGCCUACCAAGGCGACGAUCCGUAGCUGGUCUAAGAGGACGACCAGCCACACUGGAACUGAGACACGGUCCAGACUCCUACGGGAGGCAGCAGUGGGGAAUUUUGGACAAUGGGGGCAACCCUGAUCCAGCCAUUCCGCGUGAGUGAAGAAGGCCUCGGGUUGUAAAGCUCUUUCGGCAGGGAAGAAAAGGCGGGCUCUAACAUAGCCUGUUCAUGACGGUACCUGAAGAAGAAGCACCGGCUAACUACGUGCCAGCAGCCGCGGUAAUACGUAGGGUGCGAGCGUUAAUCGGAAUUACUGGGCGUAAAGCGUGCGCAGGCGGUUUUGUAAGACAGGUGUGAAAUCCCCGGGCUUAACCUGGGAACUGCGCUUGUGACUGCAAGACUGGAGUGCGGCAGAGGGGGGUGGUAUUCCACGUGUAGCAGUGAAAUGCGUAGAGAUGUGGAGGAACACCGAUGGCGAAGGCAGCCCCUGGGUCGACACUGACGCUCAUGCACGAAAGCGU